GGAUGCGAUUAUACCAGCACUAACGCACCAGAUCCCAUCAGAAAUUCAAAGUUAAGCACUCUUGGACGAGAGUAAUACUAGGAUGGGUGAUUCCUUGGGAAGUCCUUGUGUUGUAUCCC
rnacentral:rRNA from 1 species